AGUGAACGCUGGCGGUAGGCCUAACACAUGCCAGUCGAACGGCAGCACAGUAAGAGCUUGCUCUUACGGGUGGCGAGUGGCGGACGGGUGAGGAAUACAUCGGAAUCUACUUUUUCGUGGGGGAUAACGUAGGGAAACUUACGCUAAUACCGCAUACGACCUACGGGUGAAAGCAGGGGAUCUUCGGACCUUGCGCGAUUGAAUGAGCCGAUGUCGGAUUAGCUAGUUGGCGGGGUAAAGGCCCACCAAGGCGACGAUCCGUAGCUGGUCUGAGAGGAUGAUCAGCGACACUGGAACGGAGACACGGUCCAGACGACUACGGGAGGCAGCAGCGGGGAAUAUUGGACAAUGGGCGCAAGCAUGAUCCAGCCAUACCGCGUGGGUGAAGAAGGCCUUCGGGUUGUAAAGCCCUUUUGUUGGGAAAGAAAAGCAGCAGGUUAAUACCCCGCUGUUCUGACGGUACCCAAAUAAUAAGCACCGGCUAACUUCGUG
rnacentral:rRNA from 1 species